rnacentral:rRNA from 1 species
GAUGAACGCUAGCUACAGGCUUAACACAUGCAAGUCGAGGGGAAACGGCAUCGAAAGCUUGCUUUUGAUGGGCGUCGACCGGCGCACGGGUGAGUAACGCGUAUCCAACCUGCCCAUCACUUGGGAAUAACCUUGCGAAAGUAAGACUAAUGCCCAAUGACAUCCCACGAAGGCAUCCGAAUGGGAUUAAAGAUUUAUCGGUGAUGGAUGGGGAUGCGUCUGAUUAGCUUGUUGGCGGGGUGACGGCCCACCAAGGCAACGAUCAGUAGGGGUUCUGAGAGGAAGGUCCCCCACAUUGGAACUGAGACACGGUCCAAACUCCUACGGGAGGCAGCAGUGAGGAAUAUUGGUCAAUGGGCGAGAGCCUGAACCAGCCAAGUAGCGUGCAGGAUGACGGCCCUAUGGGUUGUAAACUGCUUUUAUAAGGGAAUAAAGUGGGUCACGUGUGACUUUUUGCAUGUACCUUAUGAAUAAGGACCGGCUAAUUCCGUG